rnacentral:rRNA from 1 species
GACGAACGCUGGCGGCGUGCUUAACACAUGCAAGUCGAACGGAAAGGCCCUGCUUUUGUGGGGUGCUCGAGUGGCGAACGGGUGAGUAACACGUGAGUAACCUGCCCUUGACUUUGGGAUAACUUCAGGAAACUGGGGCUAAUACCGGAUAGGAGCUCCUGCUGCAUGAUGGGGGUUGGAAAGUUUCGGCGGUUGGGGAUGGACUCGCGGCUUAUCGGCUUGUUUGUGGGGUAGUGGCUUACCAAGGCUUUGACGGGUAGCCGGCCUGAGAGGGUGACCGGCCACAGUGGGACUGAGAUACGGCCCAGACUCCUACGGGACGCAGCAGUGGGGAAUAUGGCACAGUGGGCGGAAGCCUGAUGCGGCAACGCCGCGUGCGGGAUGACGGCCUUCGGGUUGUAAACCGCUGUCGCCUGAGACGAAGCGUGAGUGACGGUAAUGGGUAAAGAAGCACCGGCUAACUACGUG